rnacentral:rRNA from 1 species
AUACGUAGGGGGCGAGCGUUGUCCGGAAUGAUUGGGCGUAAAGGGCGCGUAGGCGGCCCGGUAAGUCUGGAGUGAAAGUCCUGUUUUUAAGAUGGGAAUUGCUUUGGAUACUGUCGGGCUUGAGUGCAGGAGAGGUAAGUGGAAUUCCCAGUGUAGCGGUGAAAUGCGUAGAGAUUGGGAGGAACACCAGUGGCGAAGGCGACUUACUGGACUGUAACUGACGCUGAGGCGCGAAAGUGUGGAGAGCAAACAGGAUUAGAUGCCCUGGUAGUCCACACUGUAAACGAUGAAUGCUAGGUGUAGGGGGUAUCUACCCCUUCUGUGCCGCAGUCAACACAAUAAGCAUUCCGCCUGGGGAGUACGGCCGCAAGGUUGAAACUCAAAGGAAUUAACGGGG